UUUGCAGACUGCAGUUGCCAGGCCCAGCGAUGUUCACAUUUACUGACCUUCUAGUGGAGUUGUGCUCGCCCUUUAUGUGACAGCCUGACAGUGCUGAUGCCAUAUGAAGGGUAAACAGGCAGGGCGAGUUCAGCCCUUCUUUUCCUUUCUGACAUGAUAUGUAAUGUAUCCCUAAUACAGGAGACUCUCCUCAAACCACCGGUGUUCCUUACUCCAUGUUGCUGCCUUCUGUGUGUUGUACUUCCAGAUGAGCAGUCAUCAGUUGUCCACUCACAUGCACACACAGCCACUCCUAUGACUACUGAGCCAGGGCCAAGUCACAGGCUAGUUAGACUGAGUUGCUGGGUUCCCAAUCAUGUCCCCAUUUUCUUGUUGAAGUAUUUAGUUUAAAGUAACAUCUGGGAUCCACUGUCCUCAUUCCUUUCAUAAUUGUAAACGCUUGAAUCGGGUCACCUGUUAACUUCCAUUAGCUUCAUCUCCUUUAUUGUGUGUCCUCAUAGCUCAGUCCAGCUGCUCUACUUUGGACCUUCAAUGGCACUGCUUUGUCUUUUUUGUAAUAUGGAGAUCCAAACUACACCCAGUACUCCAGGUGAGCCCUCACCGGUGCCUUAGAAAGCUUAAGCAUAACCUCCUUUGACUAGUGCCCUGCACAUCAGGAUGCUAUACUGUAUAACCUAACAUCCCAUUAGCUUUCUUGAUUGCUUCUGCUGCAGGACAGACUGGCAUUGCCACACAAGACUUUGCUAAAAAGCAAAGUGCCAAACACUCCUAAUUCCAGCUCAAGUGUCAGUUUUUUUGUGUCUCUUUGGACUGAAGCCAUUGCGUCAUAUCUGAUAAAAAUGACCAAUCCCUGACCAAGUGGCAUCCCAGAGAUGUUUUCAUGUGGUAUCAGUUCAAACAUCCAUCCAGCUCAAAGAGCCACAUCUCAAUGACUGGCAACCAUGAUGGACAAAACUCUGCACCAAUAGUCAACCAAAAAACAAAUGGGCUUAUGUACACGUAAGCAACUAAUAGCAAGAUGUCCACUGCUUCCUAUAAACACCACUGCACAGCCCAGUCUGAGCUGUCUCUAUCAAACUCACUGCUCAGCCUGGCAGUAACUUCUGCUCUCUGUAGCAGAUACCCCAUUGCCAAGGGUGUGUCCAUAACCAAGACUGGAGCUGCCAAAAGGCAGCAGAGUGCUGGACUGGAGGAGUGGAAGGCGUGUAUGUAGAUUUAUACAUCGCUAAGGAAAGCAAGUUCACGAGCAAGAGAGAGACCAAGCUAAAAAGAAAGCAUUUGACCUGCUGAAGAUGGGAGUUGACUGAUCAGCGGCUGCCUAGCAGGUGUACACUGUGUGUGUGUGUGU